ACCUCUCUACAACCGCACAAAAAAGGUUAUAAACAUUUAAUGUACCUUAAUGGCGAGUCUGAGAUUAAAG
rfam:Acholeplasma sp. CAG:878 genomic scaffold, scf62